AUUGAACGCUGGCGGCAGGCUUAACACAUGCAAGUCGAGCGGAGAUGAGGUGCUUGCACCUUAUCUUAGCGGCGGACGGGUGAGUAAUGCUUAGGAAUCUGCCUAUUAGUGGGGGACAACAUUCCGAAAGGAAUGCUAAUACCGCAUACGUCCUACGGGAGAAAGCAGGGGAUCUUCGGACCUUGCGCUAAUAGAUGAGCCUAAGUCGGAUUAGCUAGUUGGUGGGGUAAAGGCCUACCAAGGCGACGAUCUGUAGCGGGUCUGAGAGGAUGAUCCGCCACACUGGGACUGAGACACGGCCCCGACUCCUACGGGAGGCAGCAGUGGGGAAUAUUGGACAAUGGGGGGAACCCUGAUCCAGCCAUGCCGGGUGUGUGAAGAAGGCCUUAUGGUUGUAAAGCACUUUAAGCGAGGAGGAGGCUACUGAGACUAAUACUCUUGGAUAGUGGACGUUACUCGCAGAAUAAGCACCGGCUAACUCUGUGCCAGCAGCCGCCGUAAUAC
rnacentral:rRNA from 1 species